rnacentral:lncRNA from 1 species
ACACCCCUGUACAAUAUGUACCACACUCUGCAAAGUGCUUUUCUCACUUAGCUCACCUAAGGGCCGACCUCAGUAGACCUCAUGGUCAUAGCAUUUUUUUUUUCCCAAAGUGACACUAUUGUGCUUUUAUUUGAUUUUCAGCGCAGUUAACUGUGAUUUUUUUUUUAAGUUGGGCCCUGAGCUAACAUCUGUUGCCAGUCUUCCUCUUUUUUUUUUCUCCCCAGAGCCCCAGCACAUGGUUGUAUAUCCUAGUUGUGAGUCCUUCUAGUUCUUCUAUGUCGGACGCACCACAGCAUGGCUUGAUGUGUAGGUCCGUGCACAGGAUCUGAACUGGCGAACUCUGGGCCACCAAGCGGAGCACGUGAACUUAACCACUGCACCAUGGAGCGGGCUCUCCAUAGCAUUUCUUAAAAGGCAGCUUCUCUCCCUAAAAAUAAUCAUAUUGUAUAACACAGAUGUGUAAACUUAUUAUUCUUAUUAUUUCUACUUCUCUGGGCAUCCAGUCACAUACUUGUAGGAAUGGCUAACCAAUAGAAUAUGAGAAACUACAAAACUCUCUCCAGAACUACAGAAGGCAAUGCAGAGAUGGAGAGAUGAGCCAUCAGGGUGGGUAGAAAGACCAUGUUGUCUUCUCAAAUAUUUUAAUGAAAUUAGAAUUAAAAAUCUCAAUGGGGCUUUUUUUCCUUUUUUUUUUUUGUCCUUUACAAAAUGGUUCUCGGAGUCACUUGGAAGAAUAAAUAGGUGAAAGAAACCCAGAAAUUAUUGAAAUUGAGAGGCUUGCAUAUGAAAAAGCUAUGAUCAAUAAAACAGAGUGAUACAGGUACAAGAAAGAAUAGAUCAGGGGGCCGGCCCAAUGGUGCAGCAGUUAAGUUCACACAUUCUGCUUCUCGGUGGCCCGGGGUUUGCCAGUUCGGAUCCUGGUUGCAGACAUGGCUCCGCUGGGCAAAAGCCAUGCUGUGGUAGGCAUCUCAUGUAUAAAGUAGAGGAAGAUGGGCACAGAUGUUAGCUCAGGGCCAGUCUUUCUCAGCAAAAAGAGGAGGAUUGGCAGUAGUUAGCUCAGGGCUAAUCUUCCUCAAAAAAAAAAAAAGAAAGAAAGAAUAGAUCAAUGUAACAGAAUAAGUAACCUAAACACAAAAUAUCUAUCAAAUUGUAAUACAUGAUAAGUAAGACAUCACUAUAUGUGAAAGAAAGCCUUAUCCAAUAAAAUGUGCAUGUACAAUUGGUUAGCUAUUUGGAAAAUUAAUCUGCACGCUGCAAGCCAAAAUAAAUCCAAACAGUUCAAGCAAAGAGCUACAUGCCACAAAGGACAGAAAAAAGAAAAGAAACCCUAAGAACUAGAAAGAAUGCUAAGUCAAUGUCUGUUUUAUCUCUCAAUGAAGGACUUUCUAAGUUAAAAAGCAAUGGAAGGCAUCCGAAAGAAAGAUCAAUAGGUUUGACCACAUAAAGAUGAGAAAACCUUUGUCCACUGAAAACAUUAGAAACAAAAUUGAGAAGUAAGUAAGCAGCCAGGAAAACUAUUUCAACAAAUAUAACGGACCUUGGGUUAAAAUCCUUAGUAAUAAAGAGCUUAUAAAAAUCAUUAAGAACACAAAAUGCCAAUUGAUAGAAAGAUGAGAAAGACAAGUCACAGAAGAAUCCAAAAGUUUAACCUUUCUAGAAAUAAGAGAAAUGAAAAACUAAGACGGCAUAUCUAAAAACCAUUUUAAUAGCUUUUUCUAAUUAUAAAAGUGAUGUAAGUUUAUGGUAGAAAAUCUAGAAAAUAAAAUUGACCCACUAGGUCACCAUCCAGAAGUGACCAUCACUAACUUUUGCUGUAUAUGCUGCAAGUGUUGUUUCCUCUGCCUUUUUCUUUUUUAAUUAGGGUGAUAUUGUUGGCAUCCCAUUUUCUGCCUAUCAAAUUACAGAGGUCUUUUUAAAGCUUAUAUACAAUGCUGGUAACAGUGCAUAUGGUUCAGACAAUGUAGAUGCAAUUGAAUAGGAAAGGGGCUUAAUCCAUUCUGUCCUUUUUCUGAGACCACAGCUGAACUGGGGUGCCGGGCAAAUUGUGACCCCAGUAGGCGAGUGGGUGUAGGGAUUUCAGAUUUGCAAGGCCAGAGCACCAGAGUCAGCAGGGAGCUUUUCAAGAGGACAGACUCUGGGGCCCCACCCAAGUCCAGGGAAUUAGAGGCCCCCUCUCUCCCCAGCGUCCACCUCUAGCUAACCGUGGUUAGCCUUGGUUUCUCUGAGCCUUGGUUUCAAUGUAGAUUCCUACCUCACAGGGUCAUCAUGAGAAUUAAAGGACAUAGGUCAGCAAAUGUGUUUAGCCCACUGCCUGUUAGCUCAAAAGGACAAACUCUGAGUGAGAACGUGCUUUCUCUUUUUAUAACUAAGGACCAUCAAGGGAUUCUUGCUGAACAAAGGCACUGAAAAUUCAAAUAUCUGCCUUCCAAAAGUCAGAAAACUGCUUGCAGCUUUUAAAUGCUCUUCUCCGCCUUUCCAAAUACCUCCUGGCUACAUUUCAGAGAGCCCUGGAGUAACAGUCCUCUCUGUAAACACCUCCUACUUGCCCAAGGUGACAGCACAUCAGAGACAGAACUGGGCCGAGGCCCCUGAAUCCAAGCCUGCCCUUCAAUUCCCUACCCAAUCUUGACCCUUUGCUGGAGAGUGCCAGGCACAGUGCUGAGCUGCCGAGAGGGAAGGCGGCUGCCAUAGGCAGUGGGGGUGGGGGUGAGGAUGGAGGUGGCUGUGGGCAGCCCCUCUGGUUCUGGGCCUGUUGCUCAUUAGGGGUCACUGUGUCCAGAGGCACUUCCUCUCUCCCUUGACAAGGGGCUCAGAUCCUCGCCCCCACUGUCCUCGUCCUUCCUCAGAGCUGCUGCCCACAUCAGGGCUGUCAUGUCAGCUCCCCUCCUGACACUGUGCCUUGGCAUAAUAAAUGCUCCAGUCGAAUGUACUUUAUUUUGGGGAAAGUCACUAAACUACUUUUGUGGCAACAUUUUAAUUGAAUUAGAUUGUUUUCUGAUGGUAAGAAAUGUUAAUUGAGUGGGCCUAGUGUCCUUGGAUCCAGCUAGCUUCUCGUGGUUUAAUUGGGAGGAGAGUGAGGACUAACUUCUUUUCACCAUGAGUCUGUGGUUUAAAUUUAUCUUUUGUGCCAAUAAAGUGAUCAGGUGAGUGCAGGGAGCACAUUAUUUCUUAUGUCUGAGGUUUAAUAACCUGCUUCACUCACAGGGCCAAGAGGCAGCCCCUGUUCGGUGUCACUGGGGCGUGACCCAGUUCUCUCAUCUUGGCUUAAUGAGGUUUUCUCCAUUUCUCUUGGGAAAAGAAAGAAGUUUUAAGUUCUGAAGAAUACUAAUCACCUGGUUUCAGGGGGAAGAAGUUGCUGAUUCCCAUGGGCACGGCUGACCAGAGAGGCAGGUGGUCUGCCAGGCAGCUGAGACCCCCAAGCUUUUUGUUCAUACCUGGAGCAGACAGGCCCCGGGCAGUUGCAGAAACUUGGAACAGUUGAGAGACCCUGGCAGCUUCCUCAUUUUAGCGAUAUGGAAACUGCAGCCCAGAGGGGGAAGGGGCAUAUCCAAGGCCACACACUGUGGCCCUGGUACAGUAACAUCUACAGCCCAAGGAGUCUUUGACUAGUAACAAAUUCAGUUUUGGUUCUGACAUGACCGAGACCCUGGGGUAGGUGUAAGGGUGGAGAUAGAUCCAAGGUCCUCAAUGAGCUUGCACAAUAGUGACAGUGAUGGUUGUGUAAACUGGGUGACAACAGCAGGGCCCAUACAACAUAGAAGGCAAUGUGAGGGACCAGGCAUGUUGCCUUGGACUUGUGGGGAGGAAGGGCAGUCUGGGAAGCGAUGAAGAGGAGGUGUGUCGGCACUGGGUUUUGAAGGAUAAAUAGGAGUUUGCCAGGUGGACAAAGUGUGGAGAAGGGCAUUCUAGGCAGAAGCAAUAGCAUAUGCAAAGCCAAGUUUGUUCUGGCAAAUAUGAGAUCCACAGGAGGCUCUCAGAGGCAGGACCUGUUCAGAUUUGCACUAUAGGAAAGAUCCCUCUGGCUGCUGCAGUGGAGGAGGGUCCAGAGGGGGAAUCUAGAGGCAGGGAGAGCCAGGUGAGAGAGACUGGGACCCCCCCCAGCUCAGCUCAUUGCCAUGAAGAUGGAAGAGUAGAGUCAGAUCCUAGAAAUAUUCCUGAGGUAGAGUCAAGUUCCUGGCUUAAGUAGCCGCCUAGGAGGUCAGGUCUCUUGAGAAGGUCCCAGGAGGGAGCAGGUGAGGAGGAAGGGACGGGUGACGCCCUCCCGUUGGACAAGCUCCUUGGCAACUGAAUGGUUUAUUCUUACUCUGAAUGGUGCUGGGGGGCGAUGAGACUUACAAUAGCAGCACAGCCCAUGUUGAACAGCUUUCUGCAGCUGGACACCAUUACAUGUGCUUUGCCUACAUUAAGCAGGCAUUUAUCUUCAGGACAACCUUGUGAGGUGGGUCCUGUUUUUUUUUUUUAAAGAUUGGCACCUGAGCUAACAUCUGUUGCCAAUCUUUUUUUUAUUUCUUUUUUUUUCCUUCUUCUCCCCAAAGCCCCCUAGUGCAUAGUUGUAUACUCUAGUUGUAGGUCCUUCUGGCUCUGCUAUGUGGGAUGCAGCCUCAGCAUGGCUUGAUGAGCGGUGCUAGGUCUGUGCCCAGGAUCCAAACUGGCGAAACCCUGGGCCGCUGAAGCGGAGUGCAGAAACUUAACCACUCGGCCAUGGGGCCAGCCCGAGGUGGGUCCUGUUCUUACUCCUUUCACCAGUGAGGAAACCUGGGCAUAGAGAUGGUCGGUGACUUGCCCAAGGUCACUGAGCUUAGGAGGUGGGAGAGUGGCAGCUCUCCCAGGCUGAGUCAGGGCCCCUCUGACCUACCCCAAAUAAAUAUGUGCUCCACAAUCAGAUGGAGCUUAAUUGACUCUUUACCCAAAAUUAUCCAUUGUAACAGGCAACAAGAGUCUAGGUUUUCCUUUGAGAAAUCAGAAGAACUUCCUAGCACCAAACAGUAUUCCCAAGGAGCACCAGGGCCCCAGACCUCAGCAUCUCAUUCUAUCGGUGCCCAGGCCCCUCUUGUCUGAUGGGAGGAGGUAAGAAGUCUAGACUGGGCUUUCUUCUUGAAUGCCCCACAGUAUAGCAAGAAGGGCCUGGGCUCAAACACACUUACUCCCCAUGUGACCCUGGGCAAGUCCCUCUCCUCUCCAAGCCUCACCAACUGACCAACUGUGUCUCCAUCAGACCCUCCCAGGGCUGCCAUGAGGUUGCUGGGGUCCUGGAACAUCAACAAUAAUUGAUGGCUAUUGUGAUUAUGGCUGUCCCAGCCUUGCUCCUGGCUCUCUCCAGGCUGAGGUGACCUGAGGACACAGGACCACCCUGGGAAAAGUAUCCUCACAGUGGCAGCCGCUAACCCCAGAAACUGGGCCCCAGGCCUGCCACCCAGAAAUCAAGCUCACUGUUAGUGGAGCCUCUUUCUUAAGUGGGUCCUGACCCCUCAGAAACCCUUGAGUAGUUUCUUUGUUGGGAGGCCCAGCAGCAUCCGCUUCCCCAUCCACAUGCCUGUCAGGAUUCUGUUCACCCUUUCAGGCCUGAGUCCACCCACCUUCUCUCCAACCCCUGAGGGCAUCUCCCUCCCUGCUCUCUGCCUCUGCCCCAUCUGCCACUGGGUACUACUUGAUGCUGGCAAACUCCCAGGGCAGGCCUAUGCCUCCAACUCGCACUCAAGGCCUGCCAGAGCUUUUCCUGCAGUAGCUCCAGCUGAGGGGUGUGGAUGGAUAGAGAUGGGAUGGAAUUUGCCAGGAUAAAAUUCUACCCGCCCUCCUCACACACACACACAUGCACACCCCCGCACACACAUGCACAAUCAGGCCCACCUUCCCAUUUUGUGGCCAUGAUAGCCUUAUCUUUGGCUCCACCUCAUCUGGUUCUGGGGCCUCUCCCCACUCUGCCCUGCUCCUCACCGAGCUGUCUCAGAUGCUUGUCUGGCCCCUGGUAAGCAUUCCCACCCCACCCUUCUCACUGGGACAUACCCUGACAUUGGAACAGGGGCUGGCACCAGGCAAGGUGCCACUACACACCACAGUAGCCCUGUCCCUGAGAAAAUAAGAGGAACGUGGCUUGGGAGCUGGUCAUCUACCAGCUCCAGGAAACUCCCACAAAAUCCAGGAAGAAAGCAAACCUAGGUCAUUCCUGAUGAGGCCAGGAAAGUGAACCUUGAAAAGCAAGAUUAAGAAGCUUUUUCCUCUCUCUCCUCACUUGCUAGAGAGCAAAGCCUCAGGGUCAACUGGUUACCAACUGAUGGGUUUCCUGUCACUGCAGGGUUCCCCUCCUCUGCCUUCUCCUGCAGGAUAGACCAGCUGUUGGUGCCAGAGUAAUGGCCACAAUUAAAAGCAAAAUGCCCUUACUGUGGGCUGCUGUCCUCCCACACCUGUGAGUCUGGAGGCUGAGCUCCACACUCCGAGAAUGGAAGAAUGGUAAUGAAAUCAGACAGGCCUCUUAACCGCUGAUGGUAUCAGGGCCCAGGGGAGAUGCAGACUUAUUCCUAAUCUCCCACAGAGCAUCUGUCAGCCCGACCACAUAGCAAUAUCAUUCUCACGUGCAGCAAGGACCUUUCAUGGGGUGAACUGUCAACUGCCUGCCUGGCUACCCACCCACCCUCCUCCCCCUGGGCCCCUCCUCUAGCCUCUUCCCCCUGCCUGGACUUAGGCUGCAGAUAUUCACAAACACACACUCACACACACACACUCAUACAUACACACACCCUGCUUCAUUCGUAAUUGCCUGCUCUGCCCCAUUUGCAUAGAUGGAAGAAAGAGAAAAAUAGGAACAUCCCUCUAGCAGUGUUGGAAAACAGUGAAGUGUACCAUUGAAAGAGUAAUCAUUCUGAGGGAUUUCUAGAAGCUUAGAAGCAGAUGAGAACAAGCAAAAGGAGAGCAUUGGUGCUACACAGCCUGUGACCCACUCAGACAACUCUGGGGACUGGUUUCCCCACCAGAGCCCAGGGAGCCCCUCAACUGGGCAGCAGGGGUGGGCAAAGGGGCCGGAGGAGGAGGCCUCUGGAGCUACAUCCAGCCCAGCCUUUGUCCCAAAGCUUCACUGGAUUAGGACUGCAUGCGGACUCGGUGAGGAGUCUGGGAGGCCUGUACAGGACAGAGGGGAUAGGACCCCACAACCACCACAGACGGAAAGCAGGAGAGGGUCUUGGCCCAGCAGUGGCAGCUCCUGCCUUGCCAGAAACUUCCUUUUUACUGUUAUUGAGUAUUACAGCCUAGUCCCCUCAUGAACACCCUGAGCUCCCAUUAGUAGAAACUGUAGGAGUGGGUGGGCAGGGAGCAUGUGGCACGGCCUGGACUCUGCUGGGUUGGUGCACAGAGACCCACCCCUCCCAGGCUCCAGCCUCUCAGUGAGGACAGUACUCCAUGAGACCUGGGACACAAGGUACAAGGAAUCCUGUGCUUCCUGCCCGCACAUGGCCAUUUGCUCCUAGUUCACGCACGUGGAAGGGAACGCUUCCUGCCCACACCCCCUCUAACAGGGCUCAAAUUCAGUCAGGAAGUGCCGUGUGCUACAUCCCCUUCUUGACAUUCGUGAUACAUCUUAGCUUAUUAAAGGUUCUGAGAAGACUUGCAAUAACUUUUAUUGUAUAAUUUUCAUUCAGCGCAGUUACAGAUCUUAAGUGUGCAGUUCAAUGCAUUUUGACAAAAGAUCACACCCAUAUAACCCACAGUCAUGUCAAGACUUAGAACCUUCUCAUUGCCCCAGAAAGCUCCCUCACACCCCUUUCCCAUCAUUCCCACUCCUACCCCAGAGGCAACCACAUUAUGACUUCAUAACAGUAAGUCAGUUUUGCCCAUUCUGAAGCGUCAUAUAGAUGGAUUCUUAUCCAAUAUGUGCUCUUUUGUGUCUGGCUUCUUUUACUCAGCACAAUAUCUGCAAAAUUCAUCCAUGUUGUUGCCUGUGUUAGUAGUUCCUUACUUUUAAUUGCUAGGAGUUUUCCACUGUAAGAAUAUAUUUAUUACAGUUUGUUUAUCUAUUUUCCUGCUGGUAAAUAUUUAGGGUUUUCCAUUUUUUGCUUGAAAAAAGCUGCCAUGAACACAUCUGUACUAGACUUUCUGUGAACAAAGUUUCACGUUUUCCUAGGUAGGCAUACCUAGGAAUGGAACCUGCAGCUAUGCGCACUGCCAAACUAUUUCCCAAAGUACCAGUUUACAGCCCCCCAGAAAAGUAUGAGAGUUUCUGUUGCUCCAUAGCCUCACCAUUAUUUGGUGUUGUUUCUACAGUAAUUUUUAAAAUUUUUUGUUUAAUUCAUCAUUUCCCAUGCUUAUUAAACCACUGAAUUUUUUCCCUUAUAACCCUUUUUAACAAAACUAGUGUGCUGUAGAAUUCAUUUUGAGGAGUGAGGAUCUAGACCUUCAUUUAUAAAUAGGAUAAAUCAAACAUUAGCUACAACAAGAAAUCACCAGAAUAUGAGGAGAAAGAGAAGCUCCAAAGAGGGAGCCAAGGUGAGAAGUCAGAAGGAGGCCUCCAGUAAGAAGGAAGGAAUUCAGUAAAUAACUUUGUAAAAAUUCUGAGACACAUUUUAAGAGAUCCAGAGGAUGUCACAGAGAUAGAACUGGAGCAGCCACUGGGAAAGAGAAAGAGAAUCCAGAAACUACAAGCAUGACUGCCAAAAGCAAGGCCACUUUGGAAGCAUCCAGAAGGAGAAUGCUGGAAAUGCAAAAAGGGACGUGGAGAGAGAACUAAGAGUUCAAGAAAGUCAGAAGAAAACAUUCCUAGGGUAAGGGAAGACUCGAAUUUACAGGCUGAAAACAGCACACUAUAUCUCAGGGAAAACUUUUUAAAGAACAAUCACAACCAGCAGCGUUUGGUCCUGGCAUAUCAACAGACUAAAUAAAGGGACCAAACUAAGACCUCAGAAAUGGACAGAAAUAAUAUAAGAAUUUAGUUUCAGUUAAAGGUGGUAUUUUAAAUCAGAAGGGGAAAACUAUCAUUCAAUAAAAGGUUUUGGUACAACUGACCAUGUAUCUUAAAAAAAAGAUGACUUUCCAUGGUACUUCUUAUUCUAAAAUUAAUUCCAGAUGGAUUUUAAUUGUAAAAAUGAGAUUAUAAAAAUAAUAGAAGAAAACGUAUUUUAGAUAAGGUGCUGUAAUAGGUAAAUUCCAAAAAUAUCAUUGGCUUUGCACAAUAGUUUAUUUUUUGUUCAUGUAGAGUCCAAUUGAAGGGGAUGGAGUGAGGCAAGGACUUUGCUGCCCACAGUCUCCCAGAGACCCCGGAUGAAAAAGCUCUGUCGUUUUCAACAGGUGACCUCCAAGGUUGCCCUGAGCACUGAUAUCCAUCUGUGGAUCAAAAAAUGAGAGAAAGGAUCAUGCAUGAGAAAGCACACGUAUCCAAAACAAGAAAGAGAAGUGGGAAUAAGCUUUGAAACUGAGGGAAUUUAAAAAUUAUAAGGAGUUCCUCUGCAUAACUCUCUAUCCCAAAGAUGCCCGGGGCCAUCCAACACCAUCCUACAUGAGUGGAAAGAUGACAGAGAAGAUCGAGUGGAAGAGUCUUAAUUGAAACAUUUUAUUUCUGUAAGUUUUACAGACGUUAUGACCAUGUAAAUACGUGCCAGGACCUUCCCAGGACUUUGGAGCCUAGUGAGGCCUGUGAGGCACCCAAGAGCCUUCAUCCUCAUGUCUAGGGGAUCCCAUUGCAGGCUGGCUCUUUGCCCUCACCUCUGAGUGACCCAUCCAGCAACAGCCUGUACCAAGCAAGCCUAUCAUUGUCUUCCUACCCAAACUCCUCUUCGUUGAACCUGUCUUCAACCACAGCCCUAACUUAAGAGGGAGAAUAGUCUUAGGCAGCCAUGCUUCUGCUGAGUAACGCCUCUCCCCGGCCACAGCUGAUUGGAUGACACCUGAUGGGGGGGCCAAUCCAUCUGAGCAAGGCUAGAUUGAGCCAGGUGCUCCACAAGAGUGGAUGUAUAGUAUAUACCACACUAUAUACAUUGUUAUGUAUCUUGCUCUUUUCACUUAACAGUCCUAGAAAUCAUUCCAUAUCAUAAAGUGAUUCUUUUUUUUUUUUCACAACCAAAGUCCAUAGUUUAGUUUGGGGUUCACUCUUUGUGCAGUACAUUCUGUGGGUUUUGACAAAUAUAUAAUGGCAUGUGUCCACCAUUGUAGUUUCAUAUAGAGUAGUUUCACUGCCCCAAAAAUCCUCUGUCCUCCAUAUAUGCAUCCCUCCCUUGCCACAAAUCCCUGGCAACCUCUGAUCAUUUUACUGUCUCCAGAAUUUUACUUUUUCCAGGAUGUCAUAUGGUUGGAAUCACAGAGCAUGUAGCCUUUUCACAUUGGCUUCUUUGACUUAGUAAUAUGGAUUUAAGUUUCCUCCAUGUCUUUCUGUGACUUGAUAGCUCACUGAAUAGUAUUCUAUUAUCUGGAUGUACCACAGUUUGUUUCUCCAUUUACCUAUUAAAAGAACAUCUUGGUUGCUUCCAAGCUUUGUUAAUUAUGAAUAUGGCUGCUAUAAACAUUCAUGUGCAGGUUUUUGUGUAGAUAUAAGUUUUCAACUUAUUUGGGUAAAUACCAAGGAGUGCAAAGAUCGUAUGGUAAGAGUACAUUUAGUUUUGUAAGAAAUUGCCAAACUGUCCAGGUGACACAUUUUUAAUUCCAAUUAAAUCGUGAUGCUCUGGGCUCCCUGCAAUAGAGAUACUCUAGGCUGAAGAACUAGAUUUUGUUGGGAGACUUCAGCAUUUCCAAGAUUCCAAAAGCCUCCUUUUCCUAUCAACAGUAAAGUUUAGACAUGAAGCCGAGUCUACUGUGAGCCACAUGCUCUGGGAGGGAGCAGGGGCUCUCUCGGGGCUGGGAGGUAGAAGAGAGAGCAAGAGACGAAAAUGAGCCUGGGCACAGACAAGGGCAAAAAUCAAGUGCAAAGGGACUACUUACUCCUCUUUGGAUUUGAAACCCUGGAGAAAAAGAACAGCCUAGUUAUACAAACCCCACACAGGUGAGGGGGACCCCAAAAUAGGAGACUGCCUCUUGGGGAACUGUUGGGCCUAAAGACUCCAGGUCAAUUCACUGAAGCCAGCUGACCCCACCAAGGAGUGAGUGGGCCCCAGAGGCCAGGUCACUUCAUGUAAAACAGAAGAGCAGGGAUAAAAGCCUCAUCGUUAUCUUACCACAAGGCCUGCUGCUCUCUGUCCUGCCUCAGCUUCCCCCUGCUCUUCCCUGUGAAACUCGGAAAUGGGUUUCUCAACUAGUUCAGAUCAUUCUGCCUAUUUUUCUCUUGCUCAGUGAUUGCUCCGCCCACUGCAUUGGUGGCAGUAAAAAGAUGAAAGCUGCCUGCCGUGCACUUGCCUCUCCUGCCCGCUCAGCUCAGUGCUCUGGGCCUGCCUUCACUCCCUGGAGGUCUUCCCUCCCUCGCCCAUGGCCUCAGUCAGGCCAGCACCAAGGGCUCUGGGCCCAGAAGAGGCCACUUCCCUUUCCCUCUGCCCUGCAUCCAUGGCAUCUGGUGGUGUUUACCCUCCACCUCUCUCUCUUUAACUCAACCCUCAGGCUUGCCCGGCCCCUGGGCAGUGCCCUCCCACCCUUAUUCCACCCCGUGCCCAGUGCCCAAUGGAGUCAUGCCCACCCUGCCAUUGAGACUCCCCAGGGCCUGCCUCUUGGAAUCACACUUCCUAUCUACUGUUCUCCCUCUGCCACACUUCUUUAUUCUAUUCUUCUGCAAUCUGCUUUUGUAUUUCUAUUCCUGCUCUAGUACUCACCUCUGCUGAAAUACCUUUUCUUGACCUCCAGCCUGGUCCAGCAUCCCAUCCACAGUUUACUACUGCUCACCUCCUCAGGAACUCCAAAGUGCUUGUCUAUCUGUCUUUCUUUUCUCUCCCUCCUCUUCCUUGAUAUAUUGUCCAGGUUACGGGGCCACUAAUUAGGGCCCAGCAUAUCUUUUCCACAGAGGAAUUUUUGCUUCUGGCUUUGGUAGGGCUGUCCACUGACAUGGCGUCAAAUGCGUCUAUAUAGCUGAAGGGAGUAGUUAUUUUAUGUGAGUGCACGUGCACUGUCUUCAAGAUUAGCAAGAGAUGAGCCCCUUCUCCAUUCGUUCCUUCAAUCAGUAAACACUCCGUGCAGCUUCCAUCUGGGGGCCUUGGGCUGGGCACAGGAACACACAGAAGAAUAGGACAGGAUUGCUGCCCUCUAGGGUCCCCCAGGGUGCUGUGGAAGACAAGUCAUGAGCAAGGAUAAUGUGUGACCACAGGUUGUAUUUGUGGUAAAACUUUAUCCCCUUCAACAAUUGUUAAGCAUUUUUUGAGCACCUAUCAAGCGCCAGGCAUUGUGCUGGCACUACACUUAUGUUGACUCAGUCCAUUCUCACAACUGCCUUGCAAGUUACAUGUUGUUAACCUCACUUUACAGAUGAGAAAACUGAGGGCCAGAGAGGUUGAGUAACUUGCACAAGGUAAUGUAGUAGGUGCAGAGACGGGAUCUGAUUCCAGGAUAGAUUGACCCCAAGGCCAAGCUCUUUUCACUGGUUGGAGCAGCCCCCUCUCAGCUCUGAUAGUAAAAGGAGCAGUUUUGACACAAGUUCCUUACCCUGUCUCUCCUCUACCCUCAGUGCAGCAGGCUAGGAGUGUGGACAGAACUAGGGCCAGAGGAUGGGAGAGAGCAACUGGCCUGCACAGGGUGAGAGGUGGGAAGCAAUGCCUGUCUGUUUGUCUCACACAUAUACAAGGGCACAGCUAGCAGGGGACAGGAGGUCUUAUGGGAGUAAAUGGGGCUGGGCUUGCCUUUUCACUGGACCAGUAUCUUCAUGUGUCUGGAGACCUUAAUACGCCAGAAUCACAUCCGAUAGGAGCUCCUAGUCCACAAGGAGCCACACUGUUUAAUCAACAAACCAUUAUUGAGGUCCUCUCAUGAGUAGGGAGUGGGAUAAAGAGAUGCACAAAGAAUAGUCCUUUCUCUAAAGGAUUAUUAGCAGAGUCC